UGACGCAGCGACGCCGCGUGGGGGAUGACGGCCUUCGGGUUGUAAACCUCUUUCGACAGGGACGAAGGGUGACUGACGGUACCUGUAGAAGAAUCACCGGCCAAAUUCGGUGCCACCAGCCGCGGUAAUACGUAAGGUGCCAAGCGUUUUUCGGAAUUAUUGGGCGUAAAUGGUGGUUAGGCGGUUGUGUAAUCGGUCGUGAAAGCCUCGGGCUAAACCGGAGAAUGGCGUUGAUAACGGCCUCACUGGAGUUCGGCAGGGGAGACUGGAAUUCCCGGUGUAGCGGUGAAAUGCGCAGAUAUCGGGAGGAACACCGGUGGCGAAGGCGCGUCUCUGGGCAAUACUGACGCUGAGCGCGA
rnacentral:rRNA from 1 species